UACGUAGGGUGCGAGCGUUGUCCGGAAUUAUUGGGCGUAAAGAGCUCGUAGGCGGCUUGUUGCGUCUGCUGUGAAAUCCCGGGGCUUAACCCCGGGCGUGCAGUGGAUACGGGCAGGCUGGAGGCAGGCAGGGGAGAAUGGAAUUCCCGGUGUAGCGGUGAAAUGCGCAGAUAUCGGGAGGAACACCGGUGGCGAAGGCGGUUCUCUGGGCCUGUACUGACGCUGAGGAGCGAAAGCGUGGGGAGCGAACAGG
rnacentral:rRNA from 1 species